CAGGACAUCGGGUUGGAUUUUACCCUCUUAGCUAUCUUGUCUCCCUCUCCCUAUUACUUGCUUACAGACCAGAUCUGACUAAAUUGCCCAGGCCGGCCUCAGACUUUUGACCCUCUGCGUCAGCUUCCCAAGUAGCUGCGGCUCCUCUAAGAAUUCUUCCUUCCGUGCCAGCAAACGCAACUGCACGCUUUCGUUAUUUUGUGUGAUAACAUUUUCCAGUUGGAUCUAAUUAAAUCCCACAGAUUGAAUCCCGCACUACAGUACGGUCUGGGGAUAGAAUGCGUCCCUCGCUGUUACUCGAGGCCGGUGAUGUGAGAGUAACUUGACUGGCAGGGAAGUCAAAGAUGUUAGGAGGGAGCGACCGCCCGAAGAGCAGAAAGAGAACGGAGACAAAGGGCCUUCUCAGAGCAGGGGCGUCGCCGAGAUCGUUAUUUCCAGGAGGCUGGCUUGGUUCCCUCACACCCUGACGCAUAUCCAGAUGGCUGGAGCUCCGAGUAGAUGCUAGUGGAGUAGGUUUGAAUGGACAACCUGUGGCAGGACAGAUGCCCAAUCCACUGGUGGCUGAGCUCUUUGUGCAAAGCUCUUUGCACCUCGCUCCUUCUGGUGAUACCCCCCUCUCUGAUAUCAAAAGUUCUAAUUCUUCCGAGUCAUUCAUGGAAUCAUCCCUUCGGAAUGGAUUGUGGAGGAGGUAUGCCAGUCACCUGGAGGAUUCUCUGUGGAGGGACAAUUUGGGAGAAAAGUCCAGGGCUCUGACUUCCCUGCUCCUGUUUGCAGAGAGCCCCCAUCAGCAAUCGUUUCUCAGUAUGGAUCUAAAGGCCAGAGAUGGACUCUGCUUCAGGAAGGUUCUCUCCUCCUUCUCCAGGUUACCCAAGAACACUCAGAAGUGCUGACUUCUUUUGUUUUGGGACAGUAUCCCUCACUGGCCUGGAACUCGCCAAGUAGGCUGGUGAGCAAGCCCAGCGAUCCUCCUGUCUCUGCCUCUCCAGCACCUGGAUUACAAAUGAAGGCUCCUACAUGUGAUGACCUCACUCUGCCUUGGCUGGCCAGGAACCUCUGCGUAGUCAAGCCUGCUCUCAAACUUGCAACAUUUUUUCACCUUGGACUCUGGGGUUAAGGGUGUGAGCCGUCCCAGCCCUACCUAACCGCACCGGUUGCUUUUGUGUCUUUUUCAUGAGGAGACACCUGGCAAGAGAGCUCACUUCGCUCAUUAGUCUCCCUGUGUUUUUACUUGGAAAUCCUGUGGGAAGUGUGCCUUCCUUUGUACACGAGAAUCUACUGCUUUCUCCUGCAACACCAGCAGGCCUGUUAGAAUGAAUGCAGCACACAUCAAUCUGGGAGAAGGGAAGUUGGGGAGGGAAGGAGUUUACCAGGCUCUCAAAACAAUUCCCCAUGCCUGAAUUCUUCAUUCCCGACCCCUGGAAGAAAUGUUAAGUAAACGUUGAGCAUCUGGUUUACA
rnacentral:sRNA from 1 species